AAACUCUGCCUCCAAAGUAAGUGUCGUGCCUUGUGGAUUUGCGGGGGUAUUCAACUGCCUUGGGCUGUGGGUUUGCGGCUCGUGCGUCGUGCGCUGGCUUUGUGGUUCUGUGAGCAGGAGCGAUCGGGACCCGGAGACUUGCGGAGACCCCCGGGAGAGACCAAGAGGCGGAGCGAGCCGGGACAAGUACGGCCACGUAGGUCCCGCGAGUGACCUGAGACUGGCGAGGAUGGUGUGCGUACCCAAUACUCCUCUGUGGAAUUACAGCAGGGGCAGGGGAAACCCUGCCUUGUGUUGCCCUGCGAGAGUAACUGCUGCUUGGAUUCCGAGACGGACCACUAGCCCAAGCUCUGAGGGUGUAUGCACGACGCAAUCCAGACCAAGACUUCACUCCGCACAGAAGCUCUCCUAUUGGACUCUGAAUACAGCUCAACGCCAUCUGAGGUAACCUGCUCGGCAGUCAAUAAACAAUUUGCUUCCCCGAGAACCCAAGAAAAUUGGAAAGAGCAGUUGAAGCGGGAGAUCAUGGAGGACGUUAAGGGAUACAUGAAGGGACUCGCUCAGGAGAUUAUUGCCGAGCUAAAACCAGUCAUACAGCCUCCUCCAGCUCGUCCGAACACACCGAUCCCGUCGGAGAUCUUCCAGCAGCGGCGUGUAGCCUACAAUGAACGCGACGUGCAAGGGGAGGAUUGAGAAGAGGAGGACACUCCGUUCAUCCUGAAAAGGCCAAAACGUGGAGAGGUCAACCAUGUUCCGGAUUAUCCACAACACCAUGACGAUUUUACUCUUGAAGAGGAAAGCGUUGCUCUGGUCGAUGGGGAAAAAAAAAAAAAAAAAAGGACACAACAUUGAUACGGCACAAGAUGGAGCUGACAUUUUCCCUUCGGCGGAGAGAGGUAGUAGAGGGGCAGCCUAUGAUAUCCGAAGUCCAGCAGAGAUGGCCUGCACUGUUUUCCUGUGAAGAGAUAUCUUUAGAAUUUCAUCGCAUCACCAGCAAAGACCUCCUGAAGACUUUCAAUGAGUCCCUUGAGAAUUAUGCGCAUCGCCUGCUCAGUCUGUACCGGGCUUGAAAGGGAGCUUUUGGUCAGCAAAUAGAAGACUUCCUGGAGAAGCUUGAUGAACAGACAUCAGACAUUGUGUCUCACCGAAAGAUGACAGCACUGAGAUGCUUUUUGUCCGGGACGACACAACUAAGUUUUCCUGCAGCAUUUUGAAACUGACUUGAAGAAAGAGGGCUCAGAGGCGUGUCUGUUGGCAUCCUUAACAUCCUUGAAGAAGAUGAUCCUGCUGUAUCACUCAACCCUGUUCAGAGACUGCUGCGACAUUGGAGGAAGCUGGAGGUGAGGGAUGGAGUGCUGUACCAUGUGGUUACCGAUCAAGACACACUGGAGGAGUACCCUCAGAUCGUGUGCCCAAGUACGAGGCGUGAGGAGGUCUGGAGGAGUAUCCAUGAGUCUGGAGCCCACUUUGGACCUGACAAGACCCUGGGCCGGAUCUGGCAGCAGUUCUACUGGCCUAGUAUGGAGGGGGAGGUACGGCAGUUCCAUCAGCACUGUCUUGCAUGUAGCCUACAGAAGAGUCGGGUUGAACCCAGGGCUGCCCUCCACCCAAUUUCCGCAACAUUUCCGUUGGAGGUAAUUGGGCUAGAUGUUUUAACUUUAGGUCGCCCCACUGACCCUUUGCAAAACAUUUUAGUAGCAACUGAUUUGUUUACGCAGUUUGCCUGGGCAAUACCUACACACGACCAGACUGCACAAACAACUGUAAAAAUGGUAUGGAAAUUCAUAAUACAGCAGUUUGGCUGUCCCGCGCGCUUCUAUUCGGAUCGCGGCCCUAACUUUGAGAGUGCAUUGAUGCAGCAACUUUGCGAUAUGUACGGUAUAGCAAAAAGUCGCACGACACCCUACUAUCCAGCCGGCAACGGUAGGGUAGAGCGCUUUAACCAAACAUGCUCCGAACAUUAGAGGCAGAAAAACAAAACCGCUGGCCAAAGUACUUGCCUGAACUAGUCCAUGCUUACAAUAAUACUACACAUAGUGCUACGGGCUAUGCCCCAUCCUUCCUCGUGUUUGGUAGGCACUUGCGGCUCCCGGUUGACGUGGGGUUAGGUAUAAACCCGCGACAGGCGCGGUUUGAUGUUCAGGGGUGGGUUGGGGACCACCAGAACCGACUCACUUUGGCAUACAGCCUUGCUAGAGCAAAAUCAACAAACGCAGCCUCCCAACAAAAGUGGCAAUUUGAUAAGAGGGCUCAUGCUUUGCCUUUGACCCCUGGUGAGCGAGUGUUGGUCAGAAACAGGCGAUGGCAGGGAAAAGGCAAACUGGACACAUGGUGAGACCCUGAACCCCACAUUAUCUUGGACAUUGUGGGAGAGACGGGGGUGGUUUAGCGGGUGCGCCCUGAGAAGGGUGGUCGGGAACAUACUAUCCACCGGAACGCUUUGAAAGUAUGUACCGGGCCCCCUGUUGAUCCUUCACUACCUCUGGGGGAACCACCCCCACAGACUCAAAACCGCAAACUGGCUGUGUUUUAUGGGCUUCUGCCGCACCCAGAGGCUCGACUGGAGGCACCGGGUUCUGUGGAGCAACCCAGGCGCUCCACUUGCACAACCCGGCGACAGUUGCCUGCCCGCUAUGCAGACUAGAGUUCCCCCCGUUGCAGGGACUGACAACGAUAAUGUAUGGGGGGAUGUGAUGGGACACAAGUAGGGGAUUUUAUUUUUUUUAUGUUUCAUUGCCAUGCAUGUCUUUGAGUGUUUUUAUUGCUGUGGAAUUUGAUUGUAUUUUUAAUUGCAUUUUUUACACGUUGCAGACUUUGAUUGUAUUUUUAAUUGCAUGUUUUUAUUCCUUGUGGACUUUGCUGGCGUUUUAAGACGAGGCGUGUUUUAGCUUGUUGCCCCUGACAACCAAAGUGCCCAAUCGAAUGGCACCUGAAAUCAGACGCACCUGUGGAGCAUUAGGGCUGCACACAUUUAAAAAGGAGCGACCAGGAGGAUCGAAAGGCUUGACAAGGAGGACCGGGUGAACGCGCGCAGGUUGGGAAGGAAUCCCCAGGGCUACCCAGCAGAGCCGCAGGCUACCGGAGCGAACCCCCAGAAGCCCACAACACGGAGGGGCAGAGGAAACUCUGCCUCCAAAGUAAAGAGCGAUCGGGACACGGUGAGCUGCGGUGACCCCUGGAGAGACCAAGAGGCGGAGCGACCCGGGACAAGUACGGCCACGUAGGUCCCGCGAGUGAUCGGAGACUGGCGAGGAGGGUGGGCGUACCCAAUAUUCCUCUGCGGAAUUACAGCAGGGGCAGGGUUUCCCCUGCCUUGUGUGUAAGUGUGACGUCAGCCCUGAGAGCGUCUCCGUGUUUUUAAAUUAUUUUAUCCCCGUGGCCUGCCUCCGAUUUUAAUUUCUGUGCAGGAGGACGCCGUGGAAGUGAGCGGAGCCAGGACACUGACCACGCCUGUCGUGGCUGUACCCUCACCAUAUUAUUGUUUACCAAUUGGUAUUUUUAGUGUUAUUAA